rnacentral:rRNA from 1 species
GAUGAACGCUGGCGGCGUGCCUAAUACAUGCAAGUCGAGCGAACAGACGAGGAGCUUGCUCCUCUGACGUUAGCGGCGGACGGGUGAGUAACACGUGGAUAACCUACCUAUAAGACUGGGAUAACUUCGGGAAACCGGUGCUAAUACCGGAUAAUAUAUUGAACCGCAUGGUUCAAUAGUGAAAUACGGUUUUGCUGUCACUUAUAGAUGGAUCCGCGCCGCAUUAGCUAGUUGGUAAGGUAACGGCUUACCAAGGCAACGAUGCGUAGCCGACCUGAGAGGGUGAUCGGCCACACUGGAACUGAGACACGGUCCAGACUCCUACGGGAGGCAGCAGUAGGGAAUCUUCCGCAAUGGGCGAAAGCCUGACGGAGCAACGCCGCGUGAGUGAUGAAGGUCUUCGGAUCGUAAAACUCUGUUAUUAGGGAAGAACAAAUGUGUAAGUAACUAUGCACGUCUUGACGGUACCUAAUCAGAAAGCCACGGCUAACUACGUG